GGCGCCCCUCCCCCAGCCUUGCUGCUGCCUUGCAGUUUGAUCUCAGACUGCUGUGCUAGCAAUCAGCGAGACUCCGUGGGCGUAGGACCUCCGAGCCAGGUGCGGGAUGUAAUCUCGUGGUGCACCGUUUUUCUUAAGCCGGUCCGAAAAGCGCAAUAUUCGGUUGGGAGUGACCCGAUUUUCCAGAAAAACAUCAGAGAGAAAAAAAGAAACAAAAGCCAGUCUGAAGAAAUGGUUACAUUAUUUUCUACAAUGGCAAUUUCAGAAGUUGUUUUUCUUCAUGCAGAGAUAUGGAUAUGAGAGGCAUUCCUCCACAGAAGAGGCUUAACCACUUUGGCCCUUGAGAUCUUUACUUGAUCAAAACUUCUACAAGCGUGCUGGCAUGCUGGAGUCAGCUAGAAUUGGAUUGCCAGAGCCUGUUGUGUGCACCUGUCCCCAACUCUGUCCAGUGACCUCAGCCUCCUUUCACAGAGACUGAAUUUCAAUCAGCUGCUCUCAGUUGACAAUGAUAAAAUUAUCUCUAUAUGGGCAAAUGCGUGCUCUUUGUCGAAAAAGAAAGCUUCAGCUUCAUGUUCCAGGUGAGUUAAUUAGGCAAUGUAUGAAUGCUAAUAUCUCUUUCACAUAUUUUGCUUAAGAUCUGUCUUAGGACUCUCGUCUGGCCCAUAUGGUUUUCCAAGGGCAGAAGGGCCUCUUUUUGAUGAGAGGCAGUUUUCAGUAACUCUUAAAGUGAUAACAGCAAAGGAGAGGAGAGAGAAGAGUAAGACAAAUCGAAACAUUCUUCAAUUGCUUCUUGGCCUUUUGGCUAAGCUCAAGCUCAAAACAGGUCUUCAAGGAGAAAAUACAUCACAAAGAAAAGGAUGUUUUAUUUCUUACCUUGUCCUAGAAAAAUUUCCAUAAACUCUAUUGGCUUAAUUCUGUAAACUUGACCAAUAUCAGAGUGCUUCCUACCAAGGAGGGUAGCUGAUGAGCGUGACCAUGGUACAUCCUAGAAGAAUGUGUGAUGAAGAAGCUUUCACCGUGUAAAAGAGUUGAAAAUUAUUCAAGGAGACAUUAUGGUCUUGGCCAUAAUUUAAGAACCAGUUUAAAAUAAUUUUUAUAUAGAACUUAGAGUCUAAUUUCUCAGCACAAUUCUUCUUCCCUCCUGAGUGUGGGCUGCUGGAGUGUCAGUUCCAAAUUCUUAUGCAUGAGUAAUCUUAGCAUAUUCAGUAAUAUAUUCCUCUUAUGAGAAAGUAAUCAAGUACAAUAUAACUGAUGACUUUCUUGAUUCAGUAAUCAGUAAUUUGUGAUCAAUUUUACCUGAUGGUGACAGCUUGGUGUAUAAGUUAGUGCUAAUGUAUAUUACUGCAUUUCAUUUCUGUGGAGCCUGUCAGCUGAGCAAAGGAGGGAAACUCAGGAUGGAGAACUCCUCCCCCUCCAUCCAUAAGUGGCACACCACUGGCCUCCUGGUGUUAUUAAAGGAAAAUUGGAAAAGUUUCCAGAAGAUUAAGCAGAAAGCUUACAACUUGCACAAGACUCUCAAUUUUCCAGUGGCUCUGACAGAAGGAUAAAUCUUCGGCUGUUUUAACUAAAAUGGACGGUCAAGUUGGUAUCCAUCGUGAAGCUAAAUGAAUAUCUGGACAGGAGUCAGACAAAGGGAAGGAGAAUCCAGGGGAAGAUGAAGCAGCUGCAGGCCUGUCUGCUACCCUAUAUCCGGGGAAGAGCCAGAAAGCCUCCUGGGUCCAGCAUCCCUGUCUUCUUGUCAACUUUUCAAGUAAAGUAAUGCAUUUCAUUACAUUUUGGAUGCCACACCAGUUUAAUCCCAUUGAUAGAGGGCUAUGCAAUC
rnacentral:lncRNA from 1 species